rnacentral:lncRNA from 1 species
AAGCAUUGUGGUAGGUGCGGAGGACUGCACCGCAUGCUAGGCCUGGGCUGACGAACCACAGCCAGUCAUUUCUUCAUUCCUUCAUUCACUCAGAACCAGUGGAUUCAGCCCCUGCUCUGUACCAGUGUCUGGGCCGGGCAUUAGAGGGAUGGCAGUGAGUGAGAGACAUGGCUCUCGCCCUGGUGUAACUUCCAGUCCAGCAGAGAAGACAGACUUACAGAGUCAUUACAAUGACACUCAAUGACAGGUCUCCUAAGAACAGAAUUACCCACUGGAGUUGGAAACACUCGGAUGGUCAAUGGGUUCUGAUCUGCUUAUCAGCCUUCUCUAGAUGCAUCUUCAAACUGAACAUGUAGGCUUACAUAGGUCUUGCAGUCAGAUGGACAUGGAUCAGAAUCCAAGGUCUAGUAUUAUUAGCUACAUGAACCUGGGCUCAGCCCAGAUCAAGCAAGAGUCAAAGAGAAUGCAUGGAGAUCAUCUAAGAGCCCAGGGAGUCCUCUCAUCAGGAUGCCAGAAGGAAGGAUAUGACUGAAACCGUGGAAGAUUCUAGAAAUCUGGUAAUUCUCAGGCUUAUCUACCCUCAUGGAGCAGCAUAAAAGAUGACCAUAAAGGGUCCUGUGGGCUUGUCCUUGGGGAGAAAGGGGCAGGAGGAGCUGGGGAUAUUGAAUCCUGACUGUUAGCUAUGAUCAGUGUUCAUAGGACUGCUGGUAGCUCCAGAAGAUGGAGGCAGCAGGAUGUGCCCCUGGGCUUUCAGGAAGGAAGAACAAGCCCAGAGAAAGUUGUCUGGGGCAGAGAAGUGACUCCAGGGUUUUAAGCCUCAGGGUGUUGAGUCCAGAGGAAUGGAGAUGAGGUGUUUCUCUGCCUCCUACUCUCAUCAUACCUCAUUGAAGAAGACUUCUGGCAGCUGAUCUCCUAUUUAUAUUGCCCAUCUCAGGCCCUGGGUCCAAAGUUUUUCCAAAGGAGAAACAUCCCCUUUGUGUGCCUUCCUUCCUCUGGGUAAAAUGCUUUUGUUCAGCUCUGGGCUUGAGGAGGCGAAGUUGUAAAGUCACAGUUUGUAAUCAGUAGCUCCACCUGCCUUUUGCAUCUCUCUCUGUAGGUUGCCUGAUUUAGCCUCACCCUUACCCCUCUGUUCUGGCAAUGUCCACUUUCCCUGGCCUUCUCCCCAAGACAAAACCUCUGAGAAGUCAUUCAACACACUCAAGUUACACUGUUGAGUGGUUUUAGCUCUCUUCUUUCUGACUCUAAAGCUCAUGCUCUUUCAAUCACCCCACGUGGUUUUCACAUAAAAAUUCUCAUCAUAGCACAAGUCUCUGAAAUAAAAAAACUGGAAAUAACCUAAAUGUUCAACAAUUAGGGGGUUGUAUAGUAAAUCACGAUGUAUCCAUUUGUUAGAACAUUAUACAGACAUUAAAAGUGAUCAUCACAGAGACUGUAUAGCAACUUGGGGAAAGGUUUAUGAUAAGACACUAAGUGAAAAUACUACAAUUGCUUUGAUUGCAAUGAUGGAAAAUAUGUCAGUGUGUCAACAAGGGCUGCAAGAUAAUAUGCAGAGGUGAAAAAUAGCUGUGUUUUGGGUGGAGUUUUUUCUUUCCUUCUAAAAUGAUGUGCUUCUUUUAAAUUCUUCUUGUGUAGUCGUUUUUCUUCCUGUGAGAUAAUUUUUCAGGGUUGGUGUAGAGCACACAAGAAUAUAUGGUGAGACAAGGUCAAAAUCUGAGAAAUUUCCACAAUGGGGACCCCCCAGUUUAGUGAUGCUGACUCCUUCAUGUUAAGAGGCUCCAGCUCAGACAUAGAACCUCCAUAUUGUGGUUAAGAGCAGAGGUUUUGUAGUCAGAUGGACAUGGAUCAGAAUCCAAAGUCUAGUAUUAGUAGCUGCAUGAACCUGGGCUCAGUACAGAGCAAGCACUCCUGUGCAGUCAACACAACCAGACACAGGAGAUAAACUUCUCAAUACAUUUUGAAUAGAGAAUGUCCUACAAUCCCCUUCCUCCAUAAUUAAUCAGCAGUAUUGGCUGUUUCGAUUCUCCAACUCUCUAGUAAAGCAAGGCUUCAUUGAUUUUAUUUUUUGGCGAGGGGUUUGCGGGUGAGGGUUGGGGGAGGGGGGCAGGGGGAGGUGUGUUGUCUGUCACUGUCCAUGGUUCUGAACCGGCACUACAACAAGUAUAUGGUUGUUUCUCUGGGAAAUUGCAGGGCUGGCAUAUCCUCUGCCCCACCCUAUUUUUCCAUAGAAGUACAUUUAUGCUAACCACUUCAAUGUGGUCUUCAUCAGUGUGAGGUUAAAAAACUUUGGAAUUCUUGGAGCUUGGCAGGAAAGGGAAUUAGAAAAAAUCGCAAGUUGUGGGGGCAGGAGUGGUAGAUGAUAUGUCAGCUCUUACUGAGUUAUGACCCUGGUUAAUGGCUGCAAGACAUAUCAUAUGUUGGGUAGAAAGUUUUGAGUCAUGGCAGCCUUUGUGAGCUUUGAAACUAGGAGAGAAAAACCAUAAGACCAACAGUUGGUACUGGUACUACUUCUUUAAUCUGCAGUUGUCACAGAGUCUUGGUGUACUUUAUAAAGUGUAAAAAAGUGGCUUUGAUGAUCUGUUCCAUAGACUAUCUCCAAAAUGACAGCAACCAGCAAAGACAACUCCAAUAGGAAAUAAUCUGUGACUACUCUCUGUCUCUGUCAUCUCCUUUCUCUAUUUAUCUCUGUCUUUCUCUGUGCUCAUGUAGUCUCUCUGCCCCUCCUCUCUCCUCUUCUUCCCAGCCCUCCCUGCUCUCCCUUCAAUCUACUUUUGCUUGUAAGAAAAACACUAUGUAAUUUUCUUUAAAAAUUAAUUCUACCCUACAAAAUAUGUCUAAAAUAUUCAAGAGGGGGAAAAGUUUCUUUAAUAGAACUGUUUCUUCCAGCAUAAUCAAGUUAAUGAGUGCCUCCUUAUAAUUUAAUGCGAAGUAAUUUUCACACUGGUGGUGAGCUUCAAAGAUAGGUGAAUAGAUAAUUAAUAGCAUGAUUCCCCCUGGCAACCAAGGUAAACUUCAGUCCUGAUUGGGCAAAAACAGUCAAGAAGAGGAUGGAAUUAACUACAAACAGCCACAUUUGUCACCAGUGCUCUUUGGAGCAACAAGAAGAGAAAAAAAGGCAAUAAUGAGUGUUGAAAGAGGAUGGGAUGGGUUGUAAACCUAAAGUUAGUUGCAGAAGAUUUUUCUGUUCAUUUGUUUGUUUGACUAUGAAAUUUGGUCUGAACUGAACUGGAAAAGCUAGAAGGCAGGAGUGACAUCCAAUUUUAAUAAAAUCAAUGGCAGGCAAAAAUCAUUUUCAAUGUGUUUGAAGAGAGAGUCUGCUCAAUUCAUGGGCUGCUGGAGCAAGCCAUCACAUGGAGGUUAGUCUACUCCUGCUCAUUAGCCCUGAAAGUCAGAGACCAAGGCAAGAGCAAACCCAACCCAGGAAGGCUGCUGACAUAGGAUGUAGUCAAAGAAAUCUGCAACCUAGUCAGUCUUUAAAGCCUGUGGACACUUUCUACAUAAUGCCAUCUUAAUUUCUCCAUUUUCUCCAUUCCCAUUGCCUUCAUCCAAACCUUUAUCAUGUCUCACCUGAACUAUUACAAUAUCUGUCUAUCUUGUUUCCACAUUGGCCAGAAGUGCUCUACCUACUACCCAAAUCUAGUCAUGCUGUUCCCUGCUUAAAUCUCUUCAAAGGGAUAGGAAUACUUAUCAUAACAUAGGGAUACAUGAUACAAACUCUCUACUUUUGAAUACAAGGCCCUUCAUGGUCUCACUCUGCUUCCCCUCGCCAGCCAGCCACAUCGCUCCCCUCUCUCCUCCCUUACCCUACUGGGCAUCCUAUUAUUAGACUUUCUGAACAACCUGCCAUUCCACUAAUUUGUGUGUCAUGCUCUCUCCCUUUUCUAGGUUAAUCGUUUUGCCUGGAAAUUCUCUUUCCCUCUCCAAUCCUCUUCUGACUGACACAUGCCCUUCCAGAUCCUGGCAAGGCACUAUCCCUGCCUUCCCUGACCACUGUCAACAUCAAAGUCUUGGCCAAUCGCUCUUUUUUUUCUUUUUUGAGAUGGAGUCUCGCUCUUUCGCCCAGGCUGGAGUGCAGUGGCGUGAUUUCGGCUCACUGCAAACUCUGCCUCCCGGGUUCACGCCAUUCUCCUGCCUCACCUCCCAAGUAGCUGGGACUACAGUCACCCGCCACCGUGCCCGGCUAAUUUUUUAUACUUUUUUUAGUACAGACGGGGUUUCACCGUGUUAGCCAGGAUGGUCUCGAUCUCCUGACCUCAUGAUCCACCCGCCUCAGCCUCCCAAAGUGCUGGGAUUACAGGCAUGAGCCACCGCACCUGGCCAAUCACUCUUAGUAUAUAUUUCCUAAAUACUCAACACAUAUCUCUAUUUUAGUGCCUAUUACCUUGCUUGACAAUGGUUUACUCCCCUAUCUCUCUGUCUUUACCAUAGGCUCCUAGAGGACAGAGAGUGUGUCUUGGUUCUUGUGGCACCCAAGCUCUUAGCAUGGGGCCUGGCACAUAAUAGGCACUCAGUAAAUGUUUGUUAAUAAAUAAAUGAAAUAAGAUUGCUAAGUAAAAAUUAAUUAUAGACAAGGUUGAAAGUAAGAAGGGAAUAGACCUAUCCCUAGACAAUGCAUUUAUUUAAGUCUUUAUUCAAAUAGAAUUUUCUCCUAAUUUUAAUAUACAACUGAGGAGUUAAUGUCAUCAAUAUUUGUGAAAUUUCAUACUUUCAAUAGGAGAAAAAUAGUACCUGUGCACAAACAGCAGCUAUAAGUGAAACAUGAAUGGUGAUAACAUGAAGUGCUUUGGGAGAAUAGAGAGGUGGGGUGAGAUAUUGCUAUUGUGCAUGAUGGCAGGGAGGCAUGAGGCCUCAUGUAGCAGUUAGGAAUUAUCUGCCCUGACUUUCUGCCUUUAUCUCACAUGGUGCUCAUCCUGCACCAUGACUGGUGGCUAAAACACUGAGUUUCUGGAGACUCAGCCCUGGCCAUAAAGGUAGAAAAGGGAUCUUAUUUUGUCCACUACUGUCCACACUCUUUGUUUGCCCCAGUGCCUAGUUUCUAACCCUGCCAGUUUGGUCUUUUCUUCCUGGCUCCAACUGGCCUGGAAGAGACACUCUGUGCUUGUUUUCUUGGAAUCUUCUAGGAUUUAGGUUUAUCAAGCUCUCCCUACUGGAUGUUUUAGGGGACCCCUGAGAUCCUACAUGUGCAUCAAAUUGGCUCUCUGAAGCAGGGGAUAGGGAAGAAAGUGGGCCUUAAAGGACAGUGGGAACCGAAUAGGCAGAAGUGAAGGAUGGGGCAUAAACCAUUUAAGGAGUGGGGCAGGAUGAGCAACACAUGAGUGGGAAAUCGCAGCAGAGUGCAUGGCAAGGAGGGCAGUGCUGGGAGCAGGAGAAGAUGCCUGGAUGGAUGCCCAUGCCGAAGACACUGGAUGGGGGAAAUAGGAGUCAGCACGCAAGACAGGGAAGCUACAGGAGAACCUGAAAAAACACCAUAAUGGGAGUCAAACAAGAAACCAAACCAAGGCCAACCCAACUCAGGGUCAGAGCCCAAGAAGGGGUUACAGACAGACUUCAAGCCAAGUUCUUCCUGCAGGUUCAGAGCUUGGUGCAUGGCCAGGGUCUUGGACUAGGGGUCAUAAUAUGCUUAUCUCCAUAGGUUAUUUUAGGGCUCUGACAGGGACAAUGAAGAGACAAACACCGAGGGAUGAGUGGUUGCCCACAGGUUGGGUUGUUGUUUUGGGAGUCCUGAGACUGACCCUACAGGUGCACAGACAAACCUGCAUGCACACUCAAGUCUUCUGGACCUGAGCCUAACAUCUGAAAAUGGAGUGGGAGGGCAGUGGCUACAAUGCUAAAUGCUAAAUAGCUUGAGUUGGAAAAAGCUAUUGGCUUGGGCAAUCUGGAAGACAAUGAAUAAAAGAGUAAUGAGCCAUGUUAUGGAGGUCAGAAGAAAAGAACCAUACUCCCUUGGCAAGUGUGGCUGUGGAGGAAGACAAGAACUAGGACAUAGUGAGAGGGAUAAGCUGAGGUUUUGUACUGUUAUUUUAAUAGGUAUAGUUUGUUCGUAAAAAGGCUACUUAGGAUAGACGAUAUGUGUCUAUUUCUGGCCAUAUACUCCCAGGAAAGGAGCCAGGCCUUCCCAGGAUCUCAGCCCACAUCGUGCAGCUCAAUGCCAGCAGGAUGAAGGGACUUCUUGGGACUAUCAUCUGGAAACUGGGCCCUUGGAUCUGCAGGAGUCUGCAAAGACAGCAGGGUCUCUCUUUGUGUCCUUUGAACUAUUGUCAACAUCUCCCAAAACUUAACAGAAAUGUGAUUUGGUUGUGCAAGGGCUGACAACUCAAUGGCAGAUUUCUUUGCUUUUGGCUGGAAGUACAGCAACUCAGUGUGGCAACAUGAGCUAUCUCCCACUGAUCUGAAGCUCUGAUUGCCAGUUAUAGAUGUCUUUGAUGAAUAAAAAAUGGGAAAGUGAAUUGAUUAUUACUUAUGAAAUGCAGAUUGUUUGGUAGACAAAUAUCUUUCAAACCUUGAGGCCCAUCAGGGAGGAUAAUGAAAGUAACCCUUGGCAAUGAGAGGGUUGAAGUUCAUGGAUCUGGGGGAGGCCUGGAAAACCCAACUCCAUAAUCAGUGAUAACAACAGUCUCUUUGUUUCUCUGUCUUACUGUUUCCCUGUCUCCAUGCUUGUCUGUCUAUCUGUCUCUCUCUCUCUCUGGGUUUCUUCCAGCCUUUCUGCCUUCCUGACUCAGGUUUCUAGCUUUCUAUGCUUGCGCCUUUCUCAUUUUGUUCCCAUCUUUGGCCUCCCUGAUUCUAGGCAGGUCUCUUUCUUUGGUUUUUCUCUCCUCUCUAACUCUGUCUAGGUUUUUCAGGAUUCCUGACUAUUGGCAUCUCUCAUGGCCCCACAUCUUCUGGUUUCCCUGGUGUCAUUUCUCCUAUGGCUUCUCUCUCUCUCUCUCUCUCUCUCUCCUCUCUUCUUGGCCUGCUAGUGGUUCCUGUGACAUUUCCUGCCUCUUUUCUGCCAUCAAAGCCUCCCUGAUUCAGCGUCUUGUUGUCUAAAGGUGUCUUCAUGGUGUCUGGGGAGAUUCUUAUGAGUGGGGUAUCUUCCCUCCUGCCCCUUACUUCACUAGGCAGGAAGCUGCAUGAAGCAGAGGCUUUGCCUUGCUCAAUUCUGUCUCCUCAGUGCCUAGAACAGUGCCUGCCACAUAGAAGGGCUGGAUAAAGCCCUGCUAACUGGCAGGUUCCAUGUCUCUCGGGGACUCUGCUCUUGUUUUUAUUUGCCUGCUAGGUCUCCAUGACUCUCAAGCCUCUCUCGUGGCCUCUGUCUCUGUCUUGUCUGUUCUGGCCUUUUUGUCUGUCUCUUAUGGUAUCUCCUUCUCCCUGACUCUUGACUGUGUCUCUGUCUCAUUGGCAUCUCCCUCGUGGUCUCCACAUCUCUUCUGUCUCAGCAGCAUGGACAGGCCAGAGCUAGGGCAGAAACCGGGCCAAUCCUGUCAGGCCUCGUGGCACGCACAGCCUCCUGCUGGGCCUCUCUCCAGGAUCCUCUAAUGGAAACAACUAAAGGAGAAGCUGUUUGCUUGGAAGCAAACAGCAUCAGCCCUCCAGGCAGCAAAGGCUGCCUCCAAGUUGAUUCGGCCCCUUUUCUCCAGCCCAAUUGCUUUGACCAGUCAAGGGCUUUGAAGAGCCUCUCAGGGCAGUAACUGCAGUGGACUCAUCCCUGGCUGCACGGAGGUGUGGGGGCCACUUUCUCAGUAGGUUCUCACCAUGAGUGCCCUGGAUCACAGACAGAUGGAGCUGCUCCUGGAACUAGCAGCCAUCUCUCCUGACUGAUGACUGCCUUGGCUUCAGUUAAGCAUACUGCAGGGGUCUAAGCCCGGAGGAGGGUCAGCCCUGGAGGAAUAAAAUUGUUGGGUCUGAGUGUCUAUGCUGUCAAGGCUAAGAGAGCGAGAUUUAGACUCAAAAAACUGGGUUAAAGUCCUAAUCCAACCACUGACUUUAUGCCUCAGUUUUCACAUCCGUGAAGUGGGAAUAGUAGCCUUUAUCUUGUAGGGUGGAUAGUGGAUUCAGUGUGAUAAUAUAUGAAAAGCACAAUGUCUGGACUAUGGUGAACACUCAGUAAAUGGCAGCUAUUGGAAGUGGAAGGCAAUGGGUAUACACAGGAGCUCUUCUGCUGAAGAAGGAAGGCAUGGGUGCUAACUCUGUGACAUCUUUGAGUAUUUUGAGCAGCAAUGCAUCUAGAGUUAAAGGGUUCCAGAAGAGACAAGAGCUCCGUUUGGCCAUCUGGUCCAGCCCCUUGCCUUCAGCAGAUGACUUUGCAAACCACCCGGGGCAGAUGGUGGGUGUUCUCUUCUGGAAGUUCUCCAGGGGCAGACACCCCCACCUCCCCUCCCUCACUCAUUUCUAGCUUUCCUUCCUUCACAGUCAAGAUGGGCUCCCUUAUGUUCCAUCUCAAAGCUUCUUGCUUCACACAGGCCUGUUGGCUACGGCACUUGCUUCACAGGCCUGGCGAAGAGUCCCUAUGGGUCAGCCUUUAAGGGAGGCCAUGCAAAGUGUAUGUUCCCCAGGCUGCAGCUGCAAUUUCUGAGGGGAGCCUUCACAGCCUCCCAUUUCAGCAAAUUGCAGGAAGUCAAAGAUGACACGUAGUCUGCAGUACAGUGCAGAGCAAAUACUCACUUGAAAAUAUCUCUGCCUUUUCCAAUUUCCUGGAAAUUGACAAGUGUUUCCAGGAUUCAGCCUUUGCAGCCAGGCCUGGCUGGGCCCUAUCUUUCUCUCCACGACCCCUGCUGAACCUGUGAAGUCCCCACCUCCACCCCCUGAGCCAGCUUACACGGUGGUUCUUCACCACCCCUGGGUCCACUUCUCUUGCCUCUUUGCUGUGGUCCUGUGCAUCUUGGCACCUGCAGAUGCUGGCAGAAUGGGAAGAGGGGUUUGGGUGUGACUCGCUUCCCCUCUUUGCUCCAGAUGACUCACCACCUGCCUUAGCUUUUCUCUUCCCAUCGUUACAUAAUCCUGACUCCAGGAUUAAAAAUACUCCACUGAAUACCCCGUCCAUCUGUCAUAUUCUCUCUCUCUCUCUUCAUAUAUAUAUGUAUAUAUGAUCUUAUUUUAAAAAUACUCUGGAAAGAGCACUUCCAUCGUUCAUUUACAUCAUAUUAGAAAUGGAUUUCCGAGUCAGCACUGGCUUCCUCCAGAAUAGCAGUCCUGGAGGAGCGAGAUCUCCCCAAGCCUCCAGGAUUGCAGUCUGUUUUGUGCCUUCACUCCCUAAUAGGUUUGCCUUAUUUAAAGGACACACCUUCAGAGCUGCCAAGGACUUUCUCAGAGCAGCUCCUUGGUCCCUCCGACAGCCUGGGAUGGCAUUUAUUCUGGGGCCUGGGUGUGGGGAGGUCCUCACCAGCCUAGGAGUAAGAGGAGGUGGUGAACUGGGCCCUCUGGCCUAAUUCAGGGCCCCAAGUCUAAUCUCCAGGAUGGGGACCCCUGAGUUUUGCUCUGCCCCCACGUCUCAUGACUCUUCCUACCUUGUCUCUAUGUAUUAGGAAUCAUCCCUCGAUUGAUGGAGGGAAAGUGAAAGGGCUUAUAUCUGUUUUCCUUUUUGUGAUACAACCUGAGCGACACCUAGAGCUAGAAGUGACCAGCACCCAAGAUCCAGCCUCACUCAUUCAUACACUCCCUCAUUCAUAUGCUCCCUCAUUCAUUCUACACAUACUUGUUGGGGGUUUACUGUGUGCUUGGUGUAUCAGACAGACAGUGCCUUCCAAGAGUGUGCAGCUGAGGUAGGGGAGAAAGAUCAUGUAGACCAGAUAAUUUAGAGUCAUGGGACAUAGGUUCGAGUCCAGUCUCUGCCAGAUGCCAGUUAUGUGUUAGUCAUCAGAGCUCAGAACCUCAGUGGUCUCAUCUGUGCAAUGGGCACUCCUGGAGCUGGUACAGCACUAAUGGGAAUGAAAGUGCAGUGACACUGGGCAGAAAUGUAUCAUUUGGUGUAUAAAUGCUUUCAAAGCCUGAGUUUGCUGUUGAAAAAAAGGAAAUCAGCGUAUCAAAGAGAUAUCUGCACCUUCAUGUUUAUUGCAGCACUAUUCACAAUAGCCAAGAUAUGGAAUCAACCCAAGUGCCCAACAACAGAUGGGUGGGUAAAGAAAGUGUGGUACAUAUACACAAUGGAAUAUUAUUCAGCCAUAAAAAAGAAGGAAGUCCUUCCAUAUGCAGCAACUUGGGUGGAACUGGAGGACAUUAUGUUAGAUAAGAUAAGCUAGGAACAGAAAGUUAAACACCGAACAUUCUCACUCAUAUGCGGAAGCUAAAAGAAAGUUGAUCUCAUAGAAGUAAAAAGCAGAACAGAGGUUAUUGGAGGCUGGGAAGAGGAGUGGGGAGGAAGGAUAGGGAGAGAUUUUUUCAAGGACACAAAAUUACAGCUAGGCGGUAGAGUAAGUUCUAGUGCUCUAUAGCACUGUAGGAUGACUAUAGUUAACAAUAACGUACAGUUUCCAAUAGCUAGAAGGAGGAUAUCAAAUGUUCCCAACACAAAGAGAUAAUACAUGUUUGAGAUAAUGAAUAUGCUAAUUACCCGGAUCUGAUUACUAUACAUUGUAUGUAUCGAAAUAUCACUCUGUACCCCAUAAGUACAAUUGUUAUGCAUCAAUUAGAAAAAUAAAUUUAAAAAGUUG